GCGGCAUGCUGAUCCUGCGAUUAUUAGCAAUUCCAGCUUCAUGCAGGCGAGUUGCAGCCUGCAAUCCGAACUGAGAUGGCUUUUAGGGAUUUGCUCCACUUCGCAGUUUUGCUUCCCUCUGUUUACCACCAUUGUAUUACGUGUGUAGCCCAGGACAUAAGGGGCAUGAUGAUUUGACGUCGUCCCCGCCUUCCUCCGUUUUGUCAACGGCAGUCUCGCUAGAGUGCUCUUUCGUAGCAACUAACAAUAGGGGUUGCGCUCGUUGCGGGACUUAACCCAACAUCUCACGACACGAGCUGACGACAACCAUGCACCACCUGUCUCAACUUUCCCCGAAGGGCACCUAAUGUAUCUCUACUUCGUUAGUUGGAUGUCAAGUCCUGGUAAGGUUCUUCGCGUUGCGUCGAAUUAAACCACAUAAUCCACUGCUUGUGCGGGCCCCCGUCAAUUCCUUUGAGUUUCAACCUUGCGGUCGUACUCCCCAGGUGGAAUACUUAUUGUGUUAACUGCGGCACGGAAGGGGUCAGUCCUCCCACACCUAGUAUUCAUCGUUUACAGCGUGGACUACCAGGGUAUCUAAUCCUGUUUGCUCCCCACGCUUUCGCGCCUCAGCGUCAGUUGUCGUCCAGCAAGCCGCCUUCGCCACUGGUGUUCCUCCUAAUAUCUACGCAUUUCACCGCUACACUAGGAAAUUCCGCUUGCCUCUCCGAUACUCAAGGG
rnacentral:rRNA from 1 species